rnacentral:rRNA from 1 species
AGCAGCCGCGGUAAUUCCGGCUCCAAUAGCGUAUAUUAAAGUUGUUGUAGUUAAAAAGCUCGUAGUUGAAUUUCGGGAUCAGUUUGUUGGUCGUGCUUCGGUACGUACUGUCAUUACUGGUUUCUCCCUUCUGAAGAACCUUGAUGUCAUUAAUUUGGUGUCUUGGGGAAUCAGGACUGUUACUUUGAAAAAAUUAGAGUGUUUAAAGCAGGCAUACGCUUGAAUACAUUAGUAUGGAAUAAUGAAAUAGGACGUUUGAUUCUAUUUUGUUGGUUUCUAGGAUCGACGUAAUGAUUAAUAGGGAUAGUUGGGGGCAUUAGUAUUCAAUUGUCAGAGGUGAAAUUCUUGGAUUUAUUGAAGACUAACUACUGCGAAAGCAUUUGCCAAGGAUGUUUUCAUUAAUCAAGAACGAAAGUUAGGGGAUCGAAGACGAUCAGAUACCGUCGUAGUCUUAACCAUAAACUAUGCCGACUAGGGAUCGGAUGAUGUUAUUUUUGAUGACUCAUUCGGCGCCUUACGG